UGUUUUUGUUGUUGUUGCUCUUUUGUUUUACAAAUUUAUUGCAAUACGUAAAGAGGAAGCGACAAAGUGGAAGUGGAAAUGGAAGUUGAAUAGUCAGCCAACCAAAGGUGUUAGUCACUUUCAAAUUAGCAGAAAAAGACUUCAUAGUAUUCGUUAGCCUCAUUGAUUGCCAGUGUGCGUAAGCUGAUUAGAACGCACUGUAGGCAUUUGAGGCAGACAACAAAACAAUUUGUCACAUGUUGCAAAGAACAUAAAUGAAAUUGAAUUGCGAGCUGCAUUAAGUAUGAAUCUAUAGCUGUGGUUUGAUUGCUGCCUCAGCUCGGUGGAUGAGUCGGUCGUGACGACGCCCCUUGUUUUCCCAAUUAUGCUCAAUUAUUGACACAGUCAUUAGGCAAUUGAUGAAGCGCUGCUCCCUCCUGCAGUUAUACAAUUGAAACUGUGAAAUCUUUAAGCCAGCGGGAGACGCACACGCGCUAAGUCCCCGGGCACCGAUUCUGACUUGGCUGAGGCACUCUCAAGGGUUGCAAUUGCAGUUAAUUAAGUCAAUUCGUAUUGUCUGAAUUGAAAACUCUAAGCUGAGUAUCCACAUACAACUCAAUCAGUUGCUGCAUUCUUUAAAUUUGCUCUGCGCGACAGCUAAAGUAUGUGUACUAUAAAAGACGUUCACUUAUCUUAUCAUUAAACGCGCGCUCUAAUCGUACGUAUAGUUCGCUUUGUUGGCUCUCAAUCACUCUCCUCCGUACACCCGAUAAAGAAGUCAAGCAUAACAAUAAAGUUGAUAAGUUUUUGCCUGGUGUACAUAAAUAA